rnacentral:rRNA from 1 species
CACAAGGGGUGAAGCCUGCGGUUCAAUUGGAGUCAACGCCAGAAAUCUUACCCGGAGAGACAGCAGAAUGAAGGUCAAGCUGAAGACUUUACCAGACAAGCUGAGAGGUGGUGCAUGGCCGUCGCCAGCUCGUGCCGUGAGAUGUCCUGUUAAGUCAGGUAACGAGCGAGAUCCCUGCCUCUAGUUGCCACCAUUACUCUCAGGAGUAGUGGGGCGAAUUAGCGGGACCGCCGCAGUUAAUGCGGAGGAAGGAAGGGGCCACGGCAGGUCAGUAUGCCCCGAAACUCUGAGGCCACACGCGGGCUGCAAUGGUAGCGACAAUUGGUUUCGAAUCCGAAAGGAUGAGGUAAUCCACAAACGCUACCACAGUUAUGACUGAGGGCUGCAACUCGCCCUCACGAAUAUGGAAUCCCUAGUAACUGCGUGUCAUUAUCGCGCGGUGAAUACGUCCCUGCUCCUUGCACACACCGCCCGUCGUUUCAUUGAAGUGAGCUUUUAGCGAGGUGACGUCUAAUUGGCGUUAUCGAACUUGAGGUUCGUGACAAGGGAAAAGUCGUAACAAGGUGACCGUAGGGGAACCUGCGGUCGGAUCACCUCCUU